rnacentral:lncRNA from 1 species
CGGCAACCUAGCAGCUAUCUUGGUCUCCCCUGAGUGCAUUUGGAACCUGGCCCAUUCACAUCAGUCUGUCAACUCCCAGCCCGUGGCAGGUGACCCUCCCCCUUGACAAGGCAUAAGCUGCAGCCCUGCCCACAGCCUCCCCUCUUUCAUUUUCUCUUUCCUCUCAGUCUAUCUUAUAUUUUUCUUCUUUGUUCUCUAUUCUUUUUAUCUUUUUCUCCCUCUCUUGCUUCCUUUUGUUCUCCAGGGUGGCCGGUGUGGGCAGCUGGUGGCUUCCAUAAACUUCAAAUCUUUUUCAAGGUGAAGUUCCAUAUUUACUAUAGCAUAUCAUGCAUUCUUGCAACCGGGGAAGAAUGGCCUACAAAGCCUGGUUUGGACCACAUAUAUCCCGGAUUUCCUUGGACCGACUCAACUAUUUGUCCCAGCUCCAAGUUUCAAGAAGCCAGUCAAGACUGUCAGGAAUUCAAAGCCUUCUUUCUUGGUGCAAAACCUGACUCUUUUAGUCCAG